GAUGAACGCUAGCUACAGGCUUAACACAUGCAAGUCGAGGGGAAACGACAUCGAAAGCUUGCUUUUGAUGGGCGUCGACCGGCGCACGGGUGAGUAACGCGUAUCCAACCUGCCCACCACUUGGGGAUAACCUUGCGAAAGUAAGACUAAUACCCAAUGACGUCUCUAGAAGACAUCUGAAAGAGAUUAAAGAUUUAUCGGUGAUGGAUGGUGAUGCGUCUGAUUAGCUUGUUGGCGGGGUAACGGCCCACCAAGGCGACGAUCAGUAGGGGGUCUGGGAGGAAGGUCCCCCACAUUGGAACUGAGACACGGUCCAACCUCCUACGGGAGGCAGCAGUGAGGAAUAUUGGUCAAUGGGCGAGAGCCUGAACCAGCCAAGUAGCGUGCAGGAUGACGGCCCUAUGGGUUGUAAACUGCUUUUAUAAGGGAAUAAAGUGAGUCUCGUGAGACUUUUUGCAUGUACCUUAUGAAUAAGGACCGGCUAAUUCCGUGCCAGCCGCCGCCGUAA
rnacentral:rRNA from 1 species